rnacentral:rRNA from 1 species
UACGUAGGGUGCAAGCGUUGUCCGGAAUUAUUGGGCGUAAAGAGCUCGUAGGCGGUCUGUCGCGUCUGCUGUGAAAACUCGGGGCUUAACCCCGGGCCUGCAGUGGGUACGGGCAGACUAGAGUGCGGUAGGGGAGACUGGAAUUCCUGGUGUAGCGGUGAAAUGCGCAGAUAUCAGGAGGAACACCAAUUGCGAAGGCAGCUCGCUGGGACGUAACUGACGCUGAGACGCGAAAGCGUGGGGAGCAAACAGG